UUACCUGCCCUAUUGUUUCUUGUCCACCUUUGUCUGUAUUUAAGUUUGCCUUCGUCCUUUGUUCCACGCGGUGUCGUUAUGUCUCUUUGGAUUUUGUUCUUGCUGCGGAUCCUGUUAAAUUCUAGUUUGAAGAUGCCUUGUAAUCAGGAUUAUCCUGUCAUCCAGAACCUCGCCUGCAUAACAGUCAUCUGCAAAAAGAGACCGACCAAUAUCCCCUGGAACAGCAGAAAAUUUGUCAUUGAUCAUGAUAAUGAAGAGCAAAGGACUAAUGCAGCUUCCCUGUGGAGUACCAUUAUCAACUGUGUAUUUGCUAGACAAAGCUGAAUUGAUUCAAAACUGAAUCUGUCUACCAAAAGUCUGACCCAAUUAAAAACCCUGGCACCAACCAUCAA